rnacentral:rRNA from 1 species
CCCGUGCUUGCGGCCGCACCACCGGCCCCCGCGGGGCCUCCAACCCCGACGCGGGGAGUCAGAGCGUACACGUUGGGACCCGAAAGAUGGUGAACUAUGCUUGAGCAGGCUGAGGUCAUGGGAAACCAUGAUGGAGGGCCGCAGCGGUUCUGACGUGCAAAUCGAUCGUACGACUUGAGUAUAGGGGCGAAAGACUAAUCGAACCGUCUAGUAUCUGGUUCCUUCCAAAGUUUCCCUCGGGAUAUGUGGCACCGAAGAGGGCGCAUUUUUGUCUGGUAAAGCAAAUGAUUAGAGGAAUUUGUUCCUGACCGACACGGUCUCCAUCUAUUAUCAAACUUUAAAUGGGCAAGGAACCCCCCUCUCCAGAGGUGCGGCUCAGUGAAACGACCAAUGCGCG